rnacentral:pre_miRNA from 1 species
UUAACUCAAAUUUGUAUGGAGUUAGAAAGUUUGCGUACGUUUGCCGCUAGGGGCGCUGUUCCAACUGCAUACAACAUAAAAAUUUGAGUUA